rnacentral:lncRNA from 1 species
UUCACUGGCACGUGCAUGUUUGUAAUCGAGUGUCCAGAUAAAUGAUGAAAUGCAUUUUUUUUUAUUCGAAAACUUCGCUCUCAGAAAUGCUGGAGCGUUAGCCACUAGCUGAAAUAAAAGUUCGUUGGCUCAAAUAUCUUGUAACCCAUCCGCGUAGGAGUGAGUGUAUACCGCGCAUCAAUUAUUCAAAUUUCAAAUGUUAAACUUGCAAGUUAUCAACCCUAAUGCAGAGAGAAGCGCAUAGAAAAUUCGUUGACAAAGCUUGAGGAUAAGAUCUAUUAGGUAGCUCGCAAUGACAGGGAAAUAACAUUUGCUAAAUAAAUGAUAAAUAGCAAAUUGAGACAGGUUCUAAGAAGAAAAAAAAAGAAGAAAAUAGAACACGUGCAGUAGCACAAAUUCGCUAAAUGAAUUAAAACAUAACGAGUAAACGACUAACCUGAUCUGUGGGGCACUGGUGUUGAAUACUGGUCAAAAUAAUCUGACCGAUCAACCCGAUAAAUACAUGGCGCGCGGGCGGUAGCUUGACGCACUUGAACAGCAUAAGCGCCGAGUCGGAAGGCAACACAAAGAAACAAAUCACAAAACAAAAGCAUCCUGCAGUGCGCUGCCGUGCUGUAGCCCAGGAGAUCAUCACCAAGACAGAACAUGAUGAGGCGGUCGUCGUUCCUGCCCGUCUGCGCGCUCGUCCUCGUCAUGCUCUGCGUGGCGAGCCUCAUGGGCGUCACGGAAGGGCGCCGAGGNNN